GCUGUUAGCUGCAUGUAGUAUCGACUUUGAAGGGGUCGAUUUUAUUUAGCAUUA
rnacentral:tRNA from 1 species